rnacentral:rRNA from 1 species
UACACACCGCCCGUCACACCAUGGGAGUGGGUUCCACCAGAAGCCGGUUGCCUAACCGCAAGGGAGGCGCCGACCACGGUGAGAUUCAUGACUGGGUG